AGAUGGCGACCGGCGCACGGGUGAGUAACACGUAUCCAACCUGCCGAUAACUCGGGGAUAGCCUUUCGAAAGAAAGAUUAAUACCCGAUGGCAUAAUAGAACCGCAUGGUUUGAUUAUUAAAGAAUUUCGGUUAUCGAUGGGGAUGCGUUCCAUUAGGCAGUUGGUGGGGUAACGGCCCACCAAACCUUCGAUGGAUAGGGGUUCUGAGAGGAAGGUCCCCCACAUUGGAACUGAGACACGGUCUAA
rnacentral:rRNA from 1 species